UACGUAGGGUGCGAGCGUUAAUCGGAAUUACUGGGCGUAAAGCGUGCGCAGGCGGUUUCUUAAGUCAGAUGUGAAAGCCCCGGGCUUAACCUGGGAACUGCGUUUGAAACUGGGAGACUUGAGUGUGGCAGAGGGGGGUGGAAUUCCACGUGUAGCAGUGAAAUGCGUAGAUAUGUGGAGGAACACCGAUGGCGAAGGCAGCCCCCUGGGUUAACACUGACGCUUAUGCACGAAAGCGUGGGGAGCAAACAGG
rnacentral:rRNA from 1 species